CCUACGGGUGGCAGCAGUGGGGGAUAUUGCACAAUGGGGGAAACCCUGAUGCAGCGACGCCGCGUGUGCGAAGAAGUAUUUCGGUAUGUAAAGCCCUAUCAGCAGGGAAGAAGAAAUGACGGUACCUGACUAAGAAGCACCGGCUAAAUACGUGCCAGCAGCCGCGGUAAUACGUAUGGUGCAAGCGUUAUCCGGAUUUACUGGGUGGAAAGGGAGCGCAGGCGGCACGGCAAGCCUGAUGUGAAAGCCCGCGGCCCAACCGCGGGACUGCAUUGGGAACUACCGGGCUGGAGUGCCGGAGAGGGAGGCGGAAUUCCUAGUGUAGUGGUGAAAUGCGUAGAUAUGAGGAGGAACACCAGUGGCGAAGGCGGCCUACUGGACGGAGACUGACGCUGAGGUGCGAAAGCGUGGGGAGCAAACAGGAUUAGAUACCCGGGUAGUC
rnacentral:rRNA from 1 species